ensembl:lncRNA
AUACAUAUUAAGACCUAUUUCUUGUAUUCUGUUUAUAAUUUGAAUUAAUCAGAUAAAACAUAAAGCAUAGAAUUGCUAUGUUGUAUCAUUCAAGCCACUUCGCAAAUUCCCUGAUGAACUUCACUUCCAAAUAUACUUCUAUUAUUCUCUCACUUGAAGGAAGGAAGGAAGGAAGGAAGGAAGGAAGAAAGGAAGGGAGGAAGGAACGAAGGAAGGAAGGAAGGAAGAGAAAGAAAGGAAGAGAAAGAAAGGAAGAGAAAGAAAGGAAGAGAAAGAAAGGAAGAAAGUGAGGAUCAGCUGCUACAGUGAAAAUACUAGAAAUUCCUCCAUUCAUUGAGAUUACACUUCAUCAGACUCCAAGGAUAUUGAAGAAACCUGACACCACAGCAAAAGUCUCUCCC